AGUCCUGUAGCAUAGCAGCAGAUGCGCCGGCUUGUCACGCCGGAGACAGCGGGGGCAGCACCCGUCGGGACUGCCA
rnacentral:tRNA from 1 species